CCUUUUUCCAUUUUAAGUAAAAAGAAUUGUUAUCGAAUUCAAUGUAAAUCAAUCUCACUCACGGGUUCUCUAAGCGUUUCUAUUCUCAAUGAAAUAAAUCUCGCAAAUUCAAGGAUGAAAAACAGAAAAGAGGUUCAUCUAAUACUAAAACGUCGUCGUCACCUUUCAGCCGAUUCAAAACAACCAAUGGAUCCAAUUUUGUUAGGUGCAAACCCAAUGGAAGGAUUUUCUUUGUAUGUAGGAUAAUUUUUGAAUGCAGCUGAAAGGAAUACAAUUUGGGUUCAGGGGUUUAGAACUGGGGACUAUUAUGUUAGGUUUUUUUCAAGACAUUUGAUGAAUAUAGAGGGAGCAGCAAAGAAUUGGUUCUGGGGUUGGUGAUGAUGCAGAGUAGUACCCCAGAUAGUGGUGGUGAUUAUGUUGUGAAACUUGAACAAGUUCCACGUUGGAAUGAUGCAGAACAGAGGUUAUCUUUGGCAAUUCAGGAUGAUGAUUCUUCUCCGUUGUAUCUUGCUUUUUGGGUCAUUAAUAAGUUUUCUUAGAGAAUUUACUUAUUGCAGAGGACACAGGGUUUUGCUUUAUCUGUUCAACAUCCAUAUAUCUGUUUGCUUAUGGCUCCUUCCUAAGUUAAGAUGAUUUGCACAUCCAAAGAAUUGCACUUUGAUUGUGGGUUUAUGUUUUCGUGGAUGUUUAUGCUCGCAUCCACUUUGUAUUAAAGAGUAUCAUAACGAGCAUUAUUUAACUAAUAUUGAGAAGUUGAUGUUGCAAAUAGUUUCAUGGUUAAGAGUAAUGUAUCAAGAUGAGAACAUUGAGAAGGUAAACAUUUUUUACAGUAUUUUUUAUAAUUUCUUUGAUAGAUGUAAGCAGUUAGUAAAUAUCAAGGGUCGAAACCACCGCUAACCAUUGUUGCUAUGAUAGGAUUUUGAUGAAGAAGAGAGGUGCAUGCUAAUGUACGUAGAGGUACUGAGUUUGUCCUAAUCAGAGUCUCAAAAUCAUUGUUGCACAAUCUUCUUAUCCUUGGAUGCAAUGAUAUUCUGUCUGUAGGUUGAGUUUCUUUCAACACUCAAUAUGUAUUAAAUUUACACUUUUCUUUAUGAUGAAAUUAUAGUGGAUACUACAUGAAUUUGGGCAUCCAGAGUGCUAAGAAUUGAUUUAGAUCCAAAGAUGAAUCCAUCACUUGGUCGUUUCUUGAA